UAAAUAAAUAUAUAAAUAAAUAAUGUGGAGGGAAUAAUGAAAUUUAAAAAUCAAUAUUUAGCAACCACUGUAGUAACUGCUGAUUAAAGCAAAGAAUCACAAAUGGACACUAAAACUAGUGGGUGAGAUUUUGAUAAAGAACAGAAAAUUUACACAAAAUAAUAAGUACGAUAUGUGUAUUAACUUUACAGCUGAGAACUUAGCAGCCACAAUUUUAACCAAGCGAUAAACAGUAAAAUCAUCUGCCUCCUAAUUUAAUGCCCUGAGAAGAACACAGAAGCACUUCUAUAAAACUUCUGAAAAAAAGUACAUAACCUGAGGAAACCUAUGAGGAAAUGAAGAAAUAUCCAUGAACAAAUGUCAGACAAAUCCAAACUGAGGGACAUUCUACAGAGUAAAUUGCCGUGUUCUUCAAAACUGCUAAGGUUAUAAAAGCCAGAUGGAGGCUGAGUUCCAGAUUGAAAGAAACUCAAGACACCAAGUGCUACAUAUGGUCUGGAUCAGAGCCUAGAGCUGGAUGGGACACUGUUGGGACAACGCCAGCUGCGGUGGCUCACCCCUGUAAUUCCAGCACUUUGGGAGACCAAAGCAGGCAGAUCACUUGAGUCUAGGAGUUCGAGACCAGCCUUGCCAACAAGGUGAAACCGCAUCUCUACUAAAAAUACAGAAACUAGCGAUGCAUGGUGGCGUGCGCCUGUAGUCCUAACUACUUGGGAGGCUGAGGCAGGAGAAUCAUUUGAACCUAGGGAGCGGAGGCUGCAGUGAGCUGAGAUCACGCCACUGCACUCCAGCCUGGGCGAGAGAGCAAGACACUGUCUUAAAAAUAAAAUAAAAUAAAAUAAAAUAAAAUAAAAUAAAAUAAAAUACCUUUUCAAGUUGGAAAAGAAUUAAUUUUUACUUUUAUUGGAAUGUAGCAAAUAAUUAAUUUAGAGAGAACUAUUAAAUUUUCCCUUUCAGGAACAUAGUAUCUCUUUUAAUUCAUAUGCCUUCAUAUAUUUCCUUCAGAAAAGUUUUACAAUUUUUAUUUCUUUUUUAUUUUUGUUUUUUUAAGUUUUUAUUUCUAUAGGUUCUGAGGGAACAGGUGGUAUUUGGUUACAUGAGUAAGUUCUUUAGUGGUGAUUUGUGAGAUUUUGGU
rnacentral:lncRNA from 1 species